rnacentral:rRNA from 1 species
CCUGCCCAGUGACGAUAUUCACGGCCGCGGUACCCUAACCGUGCAAAGGUCGCAUAAUCACUUGUUCUUUAAAUAUUUGACUAGUAUCAACGGCAUCACGAGGGUUAUACUGUCUCCUUUUUCUAAUCAGUGAAACUGAUCUCCCCGUGAAGAAGCGGGGAUGAGAUUAUAAGACGAGAAGACCCCAUGGAGCUUAAAACUCAAUAUACACCCCUUUGCACAUAAACCAACUCACCCAAGACACCUGUAUAUUAGCUUUAGGUUGGGGGGACCGCGGAGCAUAAUUAAACCUCCACGACAAACGGGCCACGCCCUUAUCCACGAAUUACCUCUCUAAGAAUCAGUAGACUGAUGUUUUAUGACCCAAUAUUUGAUCAACGAACUAAGUUACCCUGGGGAUAACAGCGCAAUCUACUUAAAGAGCCCCUAUCGACAAGUAGGUUUACGACCUCGAUGUUGGAUCAGGGUAUCCCAGUAGUGCAGCCGCUACUAAUGGUUCGUUUGUUCAACGAUUAAAACCCUACGUGAUCUGAGUUCAGAACCGGA